rnacentral:rRNA from 1 species
UCGAGACCGAAACUAUAUCGAGCGAUUCGGAGAACCCGUUAAAUAAGCGGCGGCGGCCGUCGCCGCGAGACGGCCGUCCCCCCCCUCCCCCCCUCUUGUUGAGGGGGGGCCCGCCGGGGGGGGCCGGUAAAACCCCAAACCGGCGGAGAGGGGCCACAAUGUCCCCCUAAAAACACGAGACCCUCGCCUGGUGUUUUUGGGGGGGGGAGGGGUGUUAGCGCACCGCACGUAUUGACACGACUCUCGACAAUGGAUAUCUCGGCUCUCGCAUCGAUGAAGAGCGCAGCGAAAUGCGAUACGUGGUGCGAAUUGCAGAAUCCCGCGAACCAUCGAGUCUUUGAACGCAAGUUGCGCCCGAGGCCAAUCGGUCGAGGGCACGUCCGCCUGGGCGUCAACCGCCGCGUCGCUCCGUGCCAAGUCCCAGCCGUUCCCACCGCAGUGGGGGUGCCGGGCGAGGCUCGGAUGUGCAGAGUGGCCCGUCGUGCCCACCGGUGCGGCGGGCUGAAGAGCGGGUUAUCUUCUCAUUGGCCACGAACAACGAGGGGUGGAUGAAAAGCUGCCGCGGGCGAGGCCCGCGUUGUCUCGUGCCGGCCCGAGUGAAGGUUACACCCCACGUGCGAUCCCAUCCCACGCGCCG